rnacentral:rRNA from 1 species
CUUGGUCAUUUAGAGGAAGUAAAAGUCGUAACAAGGUUUCCGUAGGUGAACCUGCGGAAGGAUCAUUAUCGAAAUUAUUGGUGAGGGUUGUAGCUGGCCUUUCGAGGCAUGUGCACGCUCGAGCCCUUAAUCCACUUUACACCUGUGCACUUAAUGUAGGUCGCCCUUAAAAAAGGUGACCUAUGUCUUAUCAUCAACCCAUCGUAUGUCUCAUAGAAUGUAAUCGAUAUCCUCGCCCUAAAAAAGCGUUGAUAAACUUAUACAACUUUCAACAACGGAUCUCUUGGCUCUCGCAUCGAUGAAGAACGCAGCGAAAUGCGAUAAGUAAUGUGAAUUGCAGAUUUUCAGUGAAUCAUCGAAUCUUUGAACGCACCUUGCGCUCCUUGGUAUUCCGAGGAGCAUGCCUGUUUGAGUGUCAUUAAAUUCUCAACUCCAAGGGUUUCACGACCUUUCGGAGAUUGGACUUGGAGGUGCUGGCCGCAUAUUGGUCGGCUCCUCUCAAAUGCAUCAGCGGAAUUCAACCUUUGGCUUCCGGAUGUCAGUGUGAUAAUCAUGUUGCGCUGUCGUUUGAUCCCUCAGAGUCCGCUUAUAAUGGUCUUCGGACAAAAUCAUCAUCAAAUUUGACCUCAAAUCAGGUAGGACUACCCGCUGAACUUAAGCAUAUCAAUAAGCGGAGGG